rnacentral:rRNA from 1 species
GUGGGGAAUAUUGGACAAUGGGCGAAAGCCUGAUCCAGCCAUGCCGCGUGUGUGAAGAAGGUCUUCGGAUUGUAAAGCACUUUAAGUUGGGAGGAAGGGCAGUAAGUUAAUACCUUGCUGUUUUGACGUUACCGACAGAAUAAGCACCGGCUAACUUCGUGCCAGCAGCCGCGGUAAUACGACGGGUGCAAGCGUUAAUCGGAAUUACUGGGCGUAAAGCGCGCGUAGGUGGUUUUGUAAGUUGUAGGUGAAAUCCCCGGGCUCAACCUGGGAACUGCCUCCAAAACUGCAUGACUAGAGUACGGUAGAGGGUAGUGGAAUUUCCUGUGUAGCGGUGAAAUGCGUAGAUAUAGGAAGGAACACCAGUGGCGAAGGCGACUACCUGGACUGAUACUGACACUGAGGUGCGAAAGCGUGGGGAGCAAACAGGAUUAGAAACCCCUGUAGUCC